AUUGAACGCUGGCGGCAGGCCUAACACAUGCAAGUCGAACGAGUGGCGGACGGGUGAGUAAUGUCUGGGAAUCUGCCCGAUGGAGGGGGAUAAAUACUGGAAACGGUGGCUAAUACCGCAUUACAUCGGAUGCGCCCAUAUGGGAUUAGCUAGUAGGUGGGGUAAAGGCUCACCUAGGCGACGAUCUCUAGCUGGUCUGAGAGGAGGAGAAGCCACAAUUGGACUGAGACACGGCCAAGAAGCCUACGGGAGGAAGCAGGGGGGAAUAUUGGACAAGGGGCGAAAGCCUGAUGGAGCCAUGCCGCGUGUAUGAAGAAGGCCGUAGGGUUGUAAAGUACGUUCAGCGGGGAGGCGUUACCCGCAGAAGAAGCACCGGCUAACUCCGUGCCAGCAGCCGCGGUAAUUC
rnacentral:rRNA from 1 species